UACGGAGGGGGCUAGCGUUGUUCGGAAUUACUGGGCGUAAAGCGCACGUAGGCGGCUUUGUAAGUUAGAGGUGAAAGCCCAGGGCUCAACCCUGGAAUUGCCUUUAAGACUGCAUCGCUAGAAUUGUGGAGAGGUAAGUGGAAUUCCGAGUGUAGAGGUGAAAUUCGUAGAUAUUGCAAGAACACCAGUGGCGAAGGCGGCUGACUGGUCCGGUUCUGACGCGUGAGG
rnacentral:rRNA from 1 species